rnacentral:rRNA from 1 species
UUCUGGAAUCAGCUGUCGUGAGCGAAUACUCUGUGUAUCCUAUGUGGGAGGCUUGGAAAUGCGCUUCCGGCUCAGUUGGAGCCAUCAUUGAGAUACCACUCUUGGAUGAGCUAGAAUUCUAAUGGAGAUCCUUGAUCCAGGACCCUUGCCUGUUUCGGGGGGUAAUUUUACUGGGGGCGGAUCCUUCCCAAGUGGUACCGAAGGUCUCC